rnacentral:rRNA from 1 species
AUGGCGAGCGGCGGCGGGGCGGUGAGGGAGGUGGGGUCGAGGGCGGAGCUGGACGCGGCGGUCGGCGGCGCGCGGGCCGCCGCGGUGCACUUCUGGGCGGCCUGGUGCGAGGCCUCCAAGCAGAUGGACGAGGUCUUCGCGCACCUCGCCGUCGACUUCCCCCACGCGCUCUUCCUCAGGGUUGAGGCUGAAGAACAACCGGAAAUUUCAGAGGCAUAUGGAGUUACAGCAGUGCCAUACUUUGUUUUAUGCAAGGAAGGCAAACCUGUUGAUACCUUGGAGGGCGCAAACCCAGCCAGCCUGGCCAAUAAGGUUGCAAAGUUAGCUGGGCCUGCCAAUGUUGCUCAGCCUGCUGCACCUGCUAGCUUGGGGGUGGCUGCUGGGCCUGCUGUACUCGAAAAGGUCCAAGAAAUGGCACGGCAAAAUGGAUCUUCUGCUGCUGAAAGUACACUGAAGAAGCGUUUGGAGCAGCUUGUCAACUCCCAUCCUGUCAUCUUAUUUAUGAAGGGAAAUCCAGAAGAACCAAGGUGUGGUUUCAGCCGAAGGGUGGUUGACAUUUUGAAGCAGGAAGGUGUUGAAUUUGGGAGCUUUGACAUCCUUACAGAUAAUGAAGUACGUGAAGGACUGAAGAAGUUCUCUAACUGGCCAACUUUUCCUCAGUUGUACUGCAAAGGUGAGCUGCUUGGUGGGUGUGAUAUUGUUAUUGCCAUGCAUGAAAGUGGUGAACUGAAGGAUGUAUUAAAGGAGCACAACAUUCCUCUCACGCAACAAGGAAGCAAAAUUGAGGAGCCAGUGAUGUCUGAAUCUGCAAAUGAACAGAGUCCUGAGGCAAUUGGGCUUACGGAAGCUCAGAAAGCUCGUUUGGAGAGCCUCACUAAUUCUAACCCAGUGAUGAUAUUUAUCAAAGGUUCACCUGAGGAGCCCAAGUGUGGAUUCAGUGGGAAGGUCGUUCAUAUUCUUAAGCAGGAGAAGAUUCCUUUCUCAAGUUUUGACAUUCUUUCAGAUGAUGAGGUUAGGCAAGGUCUAAAGGUUCUAUCAGACUGGCCUAGUUACCCUCAGGUGUACAUCAAGGGUGAACUGGUUGGUGGUUCGGACAUAGUGAUGGAGAUGCAUAAGAGUGGGGAACUGAAGAAGGUUCUGACUGAGAAAGGGAUUAUUCGGAAAGAGAGCCUAGAGGACCGACUCGAGGCCCUAAUUUCCUCAUCCCCAGUGAUGCUGUUCAUGAAGGGCAACCCAGAUAAUCCACGUUGCGGCUUUAGUUCGAAAGUGGUGAAUGCCUUGAAAGGAGCAGGGAUAAGCUUUGGGUCCUUUGACAUUCUAUCUGAUGAGGAAGUUAGACAAGGUCUGAAGACAUACUCGAACUGGCCCACCUUCCCCCAACUCUACUACAAAUCAGAACUGAUGGGGGGCUGUGACAUUGUUCUCGAGCUGGAAAAGAGUGGAGAGCUGAAGUCCACUCUCUCGGAGUAG